rnacentral:rRNA from 1 species
AUGAGCUUCAGUGUCCCUGGUGGUUUGGUUGACGGUUUUAUUCAGCGGUCGCAGGGCCGGCUGCAUUAUGCCAAUUUUCAGAGAGGUGGAGAUAGUGUCAUUAGAUUGGUAGUUUAUGUUCUGAACGACUAUCAAAGCAGAAAAUGGAUAUUGAAGCACAGCAUCGAAGCUUCACACAUAUUUCGAGGGAUGGAUGCCUACCUUCUUGGUCGUUUUGGAUGGGCUGCGAUGGAUUUUGGUUGGAUUGCGAUUCAUCCGGAAUGCAACACGAUAUUCUUCACUGCUGGGUGUUAUACCACAUUCAUGUGCUAUAAUAUGGAUCUUCGACAAGUCAAAGUGAUCUCCAAUCUGGAAGAUGGCCAGCCGCCAUAUCUGCCAUAUGUGCCAUUGUAUGCAGAGUUACAGUCAUUGCAAAUUUGA